GCAGUGGUAGCUCAGUGGUUAGGACGUUGGACUACUGGUCGGAAAAUCAUGAGUUCAAUACCCAGCACCGCC